GGACUCAUAGCUCAGUUUGGUUAGAGCGCUUCCUUCACAUGGAAGAAGUCGUAGGUUCGAGUCCUACUGAGUCCACCA
rnacentral:tRNA from 1 species